rnacentral:antisense_RNA from 1 species
CUUCACGGAGCCGAGCCAAAGCGGCCGGUCCUCGGGCCGGUCCUGGCCGUACGUCGCGAGCAGCGCCUGCGCCUC